rnacentral:rRNA from 1 species
AUUGAACGCUGGCGGCAUGCCUUACACAUACAAGUCGAACGGCAGCACGGGAGCAAUCCUGGUGGCGAGUGGCGAACGGGUGAGUAAUAUAUCGGAACGUGCCCGGUCGUGGGGGAUAACGUAGCGAAAGCUACGCUAAUACCGCAUACGAUCUACGGAUGAAAGCGGGGGAUCGCAAGACCUCGCGCGAUUGGAGCGGCCGAUAUCAGAUUAGGUAGUUGGUGAGGUAAAGGCUCACCAAGCCGACGAUCUGUAGCUGGUCUGAGAGGACGACCAGCCACACUGGGACUGAGACACGGCCCAGACUCCUACGGGAGGCAGCAGUGGGGAAUUUUGGACAAUGGGCGCAAGCCUGAUCCAGCAAUGCCGCGUGCAGGAUGAAGGCCUUCGGGUU